rnacentral:rRNA from 1 species
AUUGAACGCUGGCGGCAUGCCUUACACAUGCAAGUCGAACGGUAACGCGGGGCAACCUGGCGACGAGUGGCGAACGGGUGAGUAAUGUAUCGGAACGUGCCCAGUUGUGGGGGAUAGCUGCUUGAAAGAGCAGCUAAUACCGCAUACGACCUGAGGGUGAAAGCGGGGGAUCGCAAGACCUCGCGCAAUUGGAGCGGCCGAUAUCAGAUUAGGUAGUUGGUGGGGUAAAGGCUCACCAAGCCAACGAUCUGUAGCUGGUCUGAGAGGACGACCAGCCACACUGGGACUGAGACACGGCCCAGACUCCUACGGGAGGCAGCAGUGGGGAAUUUUGGACAAUGGACGCAAGUCUGAUCCAGCCAUGCCGCGUGCGGGAAGAAGGCCUUCGGGUUGUAAACCGCUUUUGUCAGGGAAGAAACGCUCUGGGUUAAUACCUCGGGGUAAUGACGGUACCUGAAGAAUAAGCACCGGCUAACUACGUGCCAGCCGCCGCGGUAAAAC